GGGCUUCGAUGUCUGAAGAAGGGAGCAGUACCUUUGCUAUUCCAGUGGAAUAACUAAGCAAGAGCAAGUGUUUGGGAAAGAAGGGAGAGACCAAGGACUGGAUGUGUGGAGGACAACCAUGUUGAAGAUGGAGAGGAUGAAAAGAUGGAUUGCUAACAUGACCACGACUACUGUGCAGUGGCUGGGCCCGAUGUAGUUGACCUGGUUUUGAUUGAGAGGGAAGAGAUGCAGAGAGAGAUUGAGGACCCAUGGAACAAAGUAGAGGAGUUGACUGUGAGGAGUUAUUUUGGGCUGCAGCGAUUUGUGGGAUUAGAGGCACAGAUCCAGUCCUUCACAAGGUGGGUAAACCUAGCCCUGCUUAGUAUUGUUACAUCAUAAACUUUACACUGUUUGCUUUCUGGCACCAUUUUCCCUAGCUACCAGCAUUUCUGUCUUAGAAUUAUGAGUAAAUAACUCCUAUUAAUGAUUCUUGCCUCAUAUGACCAUCUGAUGGCCUUUUGGUCUCUCAUCGAACCGUCAACUGACAAUAUUGUCCUGGUCACACGAGCAAGGAGAGCCAAGCUGCGGAAUGAGGUGGUGACACUUCCAUGUACCACUUCCAUAGACAUGCCCUAUCCAUGCUGGAUGAGCUGUUCCUCUUCCUCAUGUACUUGUCCUUGGGGUCAUCUGAGAUGGACCUCGCUGACCGAUUUGGCAUCCAUCACUCAACAGUAAAGCAGGAUCGUUGUCACAGGGGUCAACUACCUUUACAUUCUGCUGGGGUCUCUAUAUGGAUGUCUUUGGAAGAUGUCAAGGCUGUGUUGCCGAAGGAGUUCAUUAGGUAUCCAGACACCCAAGUCAUCAUUGACCGUACCGAGUUGAGAUGCCAGUAGCCAGCCAGUCUCCCUCUACACAGUGAGAUGUACUUUCAUUACAAGUCCCACUGUACCUUGAAAGGCCUGCUUAGGAUGGCCCCACAUGGAGCAGUUCCUUUUGUGCCAGAAUUGUAUGCUGGCUCCAUCAGCGACGAAGAGCUAUUCAAACAAUCAGGACUGUUUGGCUUGCUCUCUGAAGACAUGGCAGUGAUGGCAGACAAGUGUUUCCUGAUUGAUGACUGUGUGCCAGGCAAGGUCUACCGUCCACCCUUUUUGUCUAAACAGAGCCAAGUGCCAGUAGCAGAGGUCCAUCAAACGCAAGAGAUUGCCCAUCUUAGAGUCCACAUUGAGAGAUUCAUUUUCAGAAUUAAACUGAACAAGCUGUUUCAGUCAGAGAUCCCCAUGUCAUUGAUGGGAAGCAUCAACUGCAUCUGGGCUGUGGCUUGCCUUCUCACAAACUACCAGUGUGGGCCUCUUGUGAAGGCGUGGGCCAAGGAGCAAUGAGCUACUACUGCAAUGCAUCUUUCCUUUUUUUUGCUGUGACCAACCACAUUGUCUAACACCCUGUAGUCCAUUUAUUGAUAAACCCCAUUGCUUAUACUCCAAACACAAAAUGUUGUAACGAGUUUUAAUUUACAGUGACAAGAGAACAGAAAAAAUGUAACAUUCUUUUAAAAUGAUUUAUUUAUUAAUGUCAGCUUUUGGUGCUGUGCCUUUGAGGAUCCUCUCAGCUAGAUUGCCUGCGGAUGUCAGCCCUAUCACAUGGCAAGCCUCUCGGAACCGUGAAGAGGUCAGUCUUGGUUUCGGGAGCACCUGCCAGUCGGAGACAGCAUACUGUUCUCUAGUAGCUUCCUCUAUUUUAUGGGCUGUUGCAAAGCUCACCUGAAGAGACUAUGUGAAGCUGGUCUUCUUCACUGAGCACAAAUGUGCAGCCUUGAAAGUUGCUCUCCAGUCUGUAGCCAUCCAAGGGGCAGUGAAGGGAAGGAUGGUGUCUCCUUAUGGUGAACUAUGUGUCGCGUUGUGAUUGGAGGCUGCUGGUAAGACAGGAGGCUCCCCACCUGUACCUUUCCAAAGUGGGAGCUUUUUAGCAGACAUCCCCAUGUUGCCGAUCAAUGGCUUGGAUAGAGGUCAAAGUUCUGGUAUGCCUCUUCUAUCUGGAGAACUGAGAGGUCAGGGAGAGGUCCAAGAAGGGCACUGUAGAAUGUACUUCUGCAAAGCAAAGCAACCGCUGUGGUUAGCCAAUCUAAACAAUGUACUUGAAACCACCUGAAAUUAAAUACAUUUAUAUAGUCAAAGUGUAAUAGGACAUGACCGGUGUCAUGACUCUCUCUCCUUUGUGAGGAUCAAAGUUGCCGGAUCAGCUAGGCCAAUGGCUGACAGUCAGCCAAACUCUCUCUCACUCACUGUCUUGGGGGAGUUGGCCCAGUUUUAUGACUUAACAACCAUAUUGUAAAUACCUUGCAAAAACUCUCCCUUUGGCUCUGCAGUAUUGGGAAAGACAUCAUUUGUAUUACAGAAGAGAGACUCUUGCCCAAAACUUCAAACAACAGACACUGGGAAAAAAUACUUCAACAUCCAAACCUUGGGGAUAACGAGGGAUGGGAUGUGGAAAAUGAAUGUCUAUUUUGUGAUGUCAUUAAAAUGAUCAGAAAUACGUUAUAACCGAAACAUUGUAACAAUAAGAGCUUUCACAAUGUAUA
ensembl:lncRNA